CCUCGGGACAGCCCCGGCCGGGCCACGUUAGCUCCAGGGUGUUGAGUGAAGGGUCUGUGACAACUGUCACAGUGCUGCCUUGGCCGGGCCCUUCGCGGGAGGGACAGUCUGUCCGUCUAGCCAGAGUCACAGUCCAGCUGGGGCGCCGAGGCGAUCGAAAGCCGGUGUGUGAACGAUCAGAUGCCGGGUCUGCGCCUGCCGCCUCCCGGGGCGCCCGGAACACCCGACCGAGCGCCUUGAAAUGGCUGUGUCCUGGAGCUGGCGCACGGCGCAGGGUCCUUAGAAGGCUCGGGACACGGGGACUCCGGACACCGCUCCAAGUGGCAGCGAAGAGAGGGAUGGACAUUCAUGGUGCAAAGGCAUCAGGGCUGGGAGAGUACAGCAAGCAGUGAGGAGCUCGUUGUGCCUCUGACACUGUGCGGGGUCAGCGCCUUGGUCCCACGAAGAGGGGAUGACAGUAACCCCCAUUGGCCGGAUGGAGAAACGGAAGCUGUGUGUCAGGCCUGCCAGGCUGGCCUCGAACUCACAGCGAUCCUCCUGCCUCAGCCUCCCGGGUAACAGGCGUGCACUACCAUGCCUGGCUGAAGCUCCUGCUGUUCCCGUUUCUCACACAGCCUUGGACCAGGAGCCAGAG
rnacentral:lncRNA from 1 species